AAAUAAUUCAAAAUAGAUCCACGUAUUAGUUCUGAUUGUUAAAUGCCUGAUAUGUCUAAGAUUUAAAUACAUUUUUAGUAGUUAACGUUACCCUAUACCAACCAUAUAACUCUAUACCACCAACCUUACCCCAUGUUUACAGAAACUCUACACACCCUAAUCUUAAAGGGUUACUACAACCACUGUAACCAAGCAGUGAUUUGAAGUGGUCAUGCUGGCAGGAGUCUGG